AGAUUGAACGCUGGCGGCAUGCUUUACACAUGCAAGUCGAACGGCAGCACGGGGGCAACCCUGGUGGCGAGUGGCGAACGGGUGAGUAAUAUAUCGGAACGUACCCGGAAAUGGGGGAUAACGUAGCGAAAGUUACGCUAAUACCGCAUAUGCCCUGAGGGGGAAAGCGGGGGAUUCGUAAGAACCUCGCGUUUUCGGAGCGGCCGAUAUCGGAUUAGCUAGUAGGUGAGGUAAAGGCUCACCUAGGCGACGAUCCGUAGCUGGUCUGAGAGGACGACCAGCCACACUGGAACUGAGACACGGUCCAGACUCCUACGGGAGGCAGCAGUGGGAAUUUGGACAAUGGGCGCAAGCCUGAUCCAGCCAUGCCGCGUGAGUGAAGAAGGCCUGGGUUGUAAAGCUCUUCAGCCGAAAGAAACGCAACGGUUAAUACCCUGUGUAGAUGACGUACCGGAAGAAGAAGCAACCGGCUAACUACGUAGCCAGCAGCCGAC
rnacentral:rRNA from 1 species